GUCCACGCCCUAAACGAUGUCUACUAGUUGUCGGGUCUUAAUUGACUUGGUAACGCAGCUAACGCGUGAAGUAGACCGCCUGGGGAGUACGGUCGCAAGAUUAAAACUCAAAGGAAUUGACGGGGACCCGCACAAGCGGUGGAUGAUGUGGAUUAAUUCGAUGCAACGCGAAAACCUUACCUACCCUUGACAUGGCUGGAAUCCUUGAGAGAUCGAGGAGUGCCCGAAAGGGAGCCAGUACACAGGUGCUGCAUGGCUGUCGU
rnacentral:rRNA from 1 species